rnacentral:rRNA from 1 species
GACAGAGGAUGCAAGCGUUAUCCGGAAUGAUUGGGCGUAAAGGCGUCUGUAGGUGGCUUUUUAAGUCCGCCGUUCAAAUCCCAGGGCUCAACCCUGGACAGGCGGUGGAAACUACCACGGCUGGAGUGACGGUAGGGGCAGAGGGAAUUUCCGGUGGAGCGGUGAAAUGACGUGAGAGGAAUCGGAAAGAACACCAACGGCGAAAAGCACUCUGCUGGGCCGACACUGACACUGAGAAGCACGGAAAGCUAGGGGAGCGAAUGGG